rnacentral:rRNA from 1 species
AGGACGAACGCUGGCGGCGUGCUUAACACAUGCAAGUCGAGCGGAAAGGCCCUUCGGGGUACUCGAGCGGCGAACGGGUGAGUAACACGUGAGUAAUCUGCCCCUAGCUCUGGGAUAGCUCCGGGAAACCGGGAUUAAUACCAGAUACGACCACUUUAGACAUCUGUUGUGGUGGAAAGAAUUUUGGCUAGGGAUGAGCUCGCGGCCUAUCAGCUUGUUGGUGAGGUAACGGCUCACCAAGGCGACGACGGGUAGCCGGCCUGAGAGGGCGACCGGCCACGACUGGGACUGAGACACGGCCCAGACUCCUACGGGAGGCAGCAGUGGGGAAUAUUGCGCAAUGGGCGAAAGCCUGACGCAGCGACGCCGCGUGGGGGAUGAAGGCCUUCGGGUUGUAAACCCCUUUCAGCAGGGACGAAGCGAAAGUGACGGUACCUGCAGAAGAAGCGCCGGCUAACUACGUGCCGCAGCCGC